rnacentral:tRNA from 1 species
GAGGGUACAGCUCAGUGGUAGAAUUCAUGCCUAGCAUGCAUGAGGUCCUGGAUUCAAAUCCCAGAACCUCU